AGCUUUGUGCAGUGGCAGUAUCGCAGCCAAUGAGGUUUAUCCGAGGCACGAUUAUUGCUAAUGAAAAAUAUGGUUAAAAGAAAAACAAAGUUUUGAGCAUUCCUAAACCAA
rnacentral:snRNA from 1 species